CCCAGGGGCCCGCCAAGCCUGCCCCAGCCAGCACCUCAUGGCCCCACAGCUUAGAGCUACGUCUAACCUACUCCACUUAAAGGCCGAUUCCCCCGGGCGGGCGCCGCGCAGGCAGCAGCGGGUGGGUGGAUGAAAUCCCUACGGGGACAGGCAGGCCGCGGCACUGUCACGGCUCCCGGUUCCCGGCUCCCAUCUCGGGAAGGCUCCAUUCUUCCCCACCCCCACAGGCUGCGUGUGGCCGGGGCCGGGGCCGGGGCCUGGGCGGCGGCCACUCACCACGGCGGGGUGACUCCGUGCGGGCAGGCCUCGCGCUCCGCUUCCAGUCACCGGGAGCGAGCGGCCCCAUCAAGGCCGCGGCCGGGCAGCGGGGUACAGCCGAACCAGCCGCUCACCGCACCCGCUGCUGCUGUUGGUAGCCAUUUUAAUCCUCCUUCUUCGGCUGCCGCCGCUCCAGCUCUUCCCGAACCCCCUCCCUCCCAGUCCGGCCGCGCUCCGCCCCGCCGCCGCCGCCUUCCCGCGGGAAUGCGGCACUCGCCCGCGCCCGGCAGGAAGGGCCGUUGCCCUGACACUGGGGAGCCCCCAGCGGCAUCCUGCCCCAAAGGGGCUGGCGAGGUGCUGUUUUCUUCCAGGCUCAGAAAACUGUUAUGCCAAGACAGACUUCCACUUCCUCACUCCUCCAGUGUAAACCACUUAAAUUUUGCUGGUGAACAGAUCUGUUAUGCAACUUCUGAAGGGAGCUUUCUACAGCCCUCUCCUCAUCCCACCCAGAAGAAAGGCCAACAUCUAGCAGUAAAGGAGAAGACAACACCUUGCCUUUGAAGUGUUAAAGAAUAUAUAUUUGGAAUUUUGUGCAGUUAUCUGUGAAUUGAGAGGCCAUAAAAUCUUUCUAUUACCAUCUUUGGAAUAGUAACCUAACUAGUUGGCCAUGUUUUCCAAAGAAAGGUGUCCUGGGGCCCAAGAAAGCAGGGAAAACUUACCAGGAGAGUGAGACAGGAGAGACACUGCAACGGAGGGAGAGCCCGCACGGCUCGUUAGCUGCGUCCGUGUACAGCUGCAGCCAGCAGCUGACGGUGACAUCAGAUGCCGGCUGGUGGAUUUAAAAAUGGCAGCCGCUGCUCCGGAGGCAGCAGAGGGCAAGGAGAGCAAAAAGCUGUCCGGGCCAUCCGCGACGCUAGCCCCGCGGGACAGACGAAGAAGAGCCAGCAUGCCAGAGAAAACGGUGGCUCGAAGAGAAGGAGUAAUGACGGGAUUGUCGGCGGAUCAGUCUCAGAGUGUCAGAUCGGGUGAGCGGAGGAAGAUUGAGACAACCCUGGAGGAUUCAGAGCACCCUGAAGUAAGUGCCGAGGCGGUGGGUACAGGAAUUGCUGUA
rnacentral:lncRNA from 1 species